GGGCCUGUAGCAUAACGGAUAGUAUUUCCUUAAGGCAUUAUUCAAUGUACUUGGGAGAUAUCAAGCGACCGGCUUCGGACCGGCUGAUCGGGGUUCGAAUCCCUGCAGGCUCG
rnacentral:tRNA from 1 species